rnacentral:lncRNA from 1 species
AUUAUAAUUUUUAUUUAUAUUAGCAUCAUCAAAGUAUGCUCUGCCCACGCGAUCACCUUCACAGUCAAAAAAGUCACGAGAAAAAAAAGCGGCACAAUCGUGGAAAGCCCCGCAAUAUCUUCCCGAGGGAUCACAAGUUGUUUACUGCACUGAUUUAAAAAAAUGCUGCAAACCAAAAAAAUCUUUAAAUAACGCUGGUACUCAUUACAGCUUAUGUAGGGAAUGCAUUCAUCUAGUUACACUUCCAGCAAGUUGCACUCCACGACAGCAUUAUCACGUCACGUGUCAAGAUGAAGACUAUUACGAAACUUGCUUAACAGGUGAAGGAGGGUGUGCUACUAAUUUAUUAUCAAAAACAGUAACCUGUAAUUCAAAAGAUGUAAGAAUAUCCCUAGGGCAUUCUUGUUCGUGUGAAAUUCUCCGAGAUUCUAUAUUUUCUGACUAUAUUUGAAAAUAAGAUAUAGCAUCUAAUAACAAUAAAAUGGCACAUCCAAUAUUGUAUUUACAUAUUUUUAGAUAUUUUGCAGAUUUUUAUAAUACGUGAUUUUAUUAUGUGUGAUUUAACACCGUUUUAUUUUUUUAAGAAAAAUGUUUUAAAGAAAAAAGGUAAU